ACUGUGAGAACAUGACCUGAGCUGAAGUCGGACACCCAACUAAUUGAGCACCCAGGCGCCCCAGUACUUCUGUGUUUAAACUGUGACUUCCUCAGGCAAAGAAGAUGCUUAAGAACAGUACUUGUCAGUGGGAAGUGGUAUCUGGAAGCAGGAAUGAGAAGCCUGGAACUGUGUGGAGAGGGGCGCCUGGCUGCCUCAGGCGGAAGAGCAUGUGACUCUUGAUCUUGGGGUUGUGACUUCAAGAUCCACACUGGAUGUAGAGAUCAAAUAAAUAAAGCUUAAAAAAAAAAAUGUGUGGAGAAUAGAAGAGGUAAGGUAAUAGCAAAUUAUGAAAACUGCAUGUCCCAGCAAGAACUGCCAUUCAUCCCUACCACUCAGGCUCAGACUGGGUUAUGCUCUAGGGGUGUGUGUAAACACAUCUCUAUAGCAACCAUCUGGUUUCUGUCCUUCUAUGACAAUACAGGCUUGCAGUGUCUAAAUAUGGGCACUGGUGAGGAUGAGUGUGGCUGGGGAGGGGAAGUUGCGUGCUGAGUCAAAGGAAAAUUGUGCAGAAAAGGCAGAUUCCUUUGGUGUGCCCUCAUCUACCCCUCCCAGCCCACCCCCAAGGUAGGAAAGGGGCUUAAGACCCUGAUCUCUCUUCGGGUCACAGCAGUUGCAGUUAAGAGCUAAGCCCUGCAUACAUUUUGUCUUAUUUUAACCAAGUAUGUAAAUUCCUGUGCAGUCAGGGGGGGAUCCCCUUGGUUCAAAAGGGGGAGGGUAGAAACUUUUGCUUCCUAUUUCACCCCAGGUGUCACUUUCGGGGCCAUGGAGGUAGAAGCUGGAGGAUCCCAUCUGCUGAAGGCAUGGAUGCCUUGUCAGAGGUGGAAUGCUCAACCUACCUACCCCUGAGGACCCUGGGAGACAGGCCUGAGGAGACUGUGCCCCAUAACCCUCUGGGGACUUUGGUCAAGACUGAUACCAAACAACUUUUAAACCGGUUGAGAACCUUAAUGUGAAUUCAUUGCACAAGCGGUCCCAUCUCUGUAUGAUCUUUGGAUUCUGCCCCCAAUGCAGAACUCUCCCACUCACUUACAAAACCUUCAUCCCUGGUCCCCUCAUUUCUCUGAGGUCUCACACAGAAACUCUUAAGAGGAAUUUCCCUCAACCCACUCAUUCAAAUUACACCCACGUUUCCCCUCAGACCCUGCUUUGUUUGCAGGCCUGGAGGGUUUUCCCCUCCUCCAGUAUCAGAAAGUGGGGAAACUGAGAUACUUCUAGCUCUCUAAUGUCAUUUUCAGGCCAUUAUUCUUCCUCCAAGAUAUUUACAUGCCAUUCCUCCUGCUAUGGAGUUCAGGCUAAACUCUCCUUCAUGUUCUUGGCUACUCCUGGUCACUUCUAUACCAGGACUGGUACGAGGCUUCCUCUUCUCCCCAAUCCUACAUAAUUCUGGGUUGAUUGCAACACCUUGACUUACUGAUCCAACAUUCCAAGCCCAUAAUUCUCUGUUGUUGUUGUUUUGUAAGCUAACUGCUUUAAUCUUCCUUUUAUAAAAAAGACAGUUGGGUUUAACAAGAGAUAACAACAAAACCACAAAUACUUGAGCUACCUACCUUUGCAGCUGGAUGUAGGAGCUCCCUUGUUCUUUGACUCUAAUGACCUUUACUUUUACCCGACUUUAGACACCCAUUACUACUACACAUUUCAUUACAUGGAAGAGUUCCAACUCCAAAAUCUUAACUCUAACAUCACUGUGACCACCAGGUCCUGAGCUUCCAACUUAAUCACUUCUUUCACUUCUAAAUUGUCAUCAGCUCUUUGACCUUAUCAAGACCUCUCUUGACCAGAGCUGAUCAUACCUUCUUUGGCCUACCUUUUCACCCAGUCUGAAUAGGGUGGAUAUCUUGAACUGUCCCUCCCCAGCACCUUCCAUCCCCUUAUUCCCUUAUCAAUCCACUCAAUGUGUCCACAGACUAUGAUCCAGGAGCUACAUAAUAAUGCAUCUUAUCUGCUCUUGUACCCAGGCGGCUGGGUGUUGCUAGAGAAAACAGCAGAAAUACAGAUUGGUACCAUUCCAGUAGAUUACACGUUCCAAGGAUUAUACAUUCGUGGUUUCCAAUCUGUUAGGCCCUUGACACUUGUUCUCUAACCCUUUUACUUAGUAUUAUUGUCUGUUCUCUUCCAUUCCUCUCCCUUUCAACCUCUCUCCUAAACGAUGGCCACUCUUCUUAAGCCCCCUAACUCUCAUCUCCCUGUCAACUUGCAACCUUACAUCUCCGCAAAGAAUAGCGAAGCCAUCGGAGAAGGUCUCCCAUCAACUACCAACCCCAGUCACAAACAGCGAAGAGUUUACCCCUCAUUGUAUUUUCACCUUGAGCCUCAAGCAGGAUGCAGUAAACAUCUCCCUGCUGAGACCAAUUUCCUACACAGCUGGCUUCCCAACUAAACCAGCCCCAGCACCUCACCAUGCAUAGUGGUUGGCACAUAAGUGCUUCAUAAAUGUAUGUUGAAAUGUUUAAUUGACCAUAUCCACCUGAACUGAUUUACAUCCCCUCCUUUUUCUUCAUCAUUCUCCGCUGAGCUUCAACAUUUACUGGUUCCUUUCACUCAAGUCAAUAAAUGUGCCUAAAUUUAACAUCUUAAAACAACAAAACCUUCCCACACCACUUGGUUCUACAGGCAAGAUUCUACCUCUACUAAUCUGUUGACACUGCUGGCUCAAAAAGGUUACUAAUUGCCAAAUCAAAUGGACACCCUUUAGUCCAUUAAAAAAAAA